rnacentral:lncRNA from 1 species
GCUUGAAUUUGGAUUGUGAUCAAAUUUUUGACAUUACAUGGGUUUUUUUUUACACAAAACAAAUGUCAAGAUUUUACAAAUCAAUUAAAGAUUUCUUCUUCAAACUUUUUAAAUCUAAAAUUAAAUAGUUGACACAGCAUAGGUUUCUGACACAGAAUGAAUGUGGUCUAAUGAACUUAAAAGUUUUUUUUGCCUUUGAGCAAUUCACUAUGCUGUUGAAUAUUAAUCCUCUCAAAAAAAUGUUUGAAGAAAUUUUCUUUUUAUUUAUGAAAUCUAAAAUGAGAAAAAUUUACCCCCCCCCCCCUUUUUUUUCACAUCCCCGUUUCCCUUUCUCCAAAACUGAUAUCAAUUCAAAUUUCUAAUGGAGUUUGCAACAAUAACUACUCUUUUAAAUACAUCAUAAAAUAUUAAAAUGUAAAAUAAAGUGCUUGUUAUCACUGAAUGGUAAAGAUUGGUUGGUAGUAAAAGUGAAUAUACAUUGUUUAUUGUAUAAAACAAUAAAAAAAACUUCAUCAGCAACAUUUUAUAUUGGC